AUUGAACGCUGGCGGAAUGCUUUACACAUGCAAGUCGAACGGUAGAGGGGGCAACCCCUCGAGAGUGGCGAACGGGUGAGUAAUAUAUCGGAACGUGCCCAGUCGUGGGGGAUAACGUAGCGAAAGUUACGCUAAUACCGCAUACGAUCUAAGGAUGAAAGCGGGGGAUCGCAAGACCUAGCGCGAUUGGAGCGGCCGAUAUCAGAUUAGCUAGUUGGUGAGGUAAAGGCUCACCAAGGCGACGAUCUGUAGCUGGUCUGAGAGGACGACCAGCCACACUGGAACUGAGACACGGUCCAGACUCCUACGGGAGGCAGCAGUGGGGAAUUUUGGACAAUGGGCGAAAGCCUGAUCCAGCAAUGCCGCGUGCAGGAUGAAGGCCUUCGGGUUGUAAACUGCUUUUGUACGGAACGAAACGGUGAGCUCUAAUACAGUUUGCUAAUGACGGUACCGUAAGAAUAAGCACCGGCUAACUACGUGCCAGCCGCCGCCGUAA
rnacentral:rRNA from 1 species